rnacentral:lncRNA from 1 species
CCGGGGGCAGCCCUACCUCUUCCAUAACUCUGUUUUCUCCUCACAUCGGUUGCGACAACGCUUGGCAAAGCCCUACUGGCACUGGUCGCUUGAGAUUCCAUCUAAUUCUCCUUCCUCUCUUGCUGGAUCAAGAAGGAGGAGACAUUAUCGAGCCGUACGUGUGCUGAACACGGAGGUGCCUUCCGUUUGGUGCUCAAUCGGGACGGAUCUUGAUAGGAUCGCGAGACAGAUAGUGAUUGGAUCACGAAGAUGUUCGACUAUAUCAACCGCGUUUCUUAACGCUUGCCGCUUAGCGAUCUACAAGGGUAUGUGGAUCCGAGCUCCCGUCCCGUAAAUUCUCAUCACCAUGGAUAGAUCUUGUAUGUGCGUAGGAAUUUUUUUGUUUCCCAUGCAACAUUCCCUAACAGUGGCAUCAUGAGUUGGGUCUAUGCGUAGAUGAAAUCACGAGUAGAACACAAAGGAGUUUGUGAGCGUUGAUAUUCUGAUUGAUUCCCUCGUUAGUCUUUUCUUGGUUCAGCGGUAUUGUGGGAUUAAGCGACCCGGACCAACUUUACUCGUCCACGUACGAGAGACCAGUUCCAUCGACUGACAUGCAACUUGUUGCAUAAAGAUGGCUGGCGGGUGUCUGUCUCUCCCACUUUAGUUGAAUCGGAUUCGACAUAGGUGGUCCUUGUAGAAGGUUAAAUAACAACUUGCAUAUCACCGUUGCGGUUUUGUGUAGGUAAGAAGCAUUCUUACUAGAUACCCAUAGCGGCCACGUAAAAUAUGCAACAACAAAUUAGAGGAUGGCUAACUUGUUUUUGGAGGGUAUGUUGUUAUAUGAUAUGUGAUGAGGACAUCAACACCAUUAUUACACCCACAACCCCAGUUGCUAUACAUACCUGACCAGUUACUAGAGCUCGUGCACGCCAAUUGAAUUACGAGGUACUUUUGUUUCCUGGGAAUACUUCUAAUGUUCAUGAACAUAUGAUGUUGCCUAAGUUAGAUACUUUUGUUGUUCUCAUGAAUGAAGGACCUAGCAUGGACAAGAAGGAUAUCCGUUGGAGCGGGAUCAAGCAUGGAGAAGAAGGUGCACGCGCGAGAGAGAACAAUGGAGCUUCCAGUGGUGAUUUUCGGACUCUAAAGCCACCAUAAGGAGAGCAUGAAGGGUUUGGACGAAAUAUUCAAGACGCCACUUUAUAAAUUUCGUCCAUAGGCUAUUAUAGAGGUUGCACCACCUUAUUUUUGGGCCAGGCCCAUGUAAUUUCGAAAUACCAUAAUAUAGGCUAUUUUUAGAGUCCGUAUGUGUGGGGAAACCGAGUUUAGGGCAGUUUCCGAACCCCUCCUCCAAGGGUCACGAAAUUGCCUCUCUGUUCCCUCAUAUAUACAACCCUUAGGGCACCGUUUAGACUUGGAUUUUGUUUAGAUUACAAGUUCGCCAUAGCUGCAACUUCGCGUUCUCCAUUUGUGUUCUAUGACCAGACAAAGGCGUCAUAGAACCCCAC